CGAGAUAACGCGGAUAGAUGUAGGUGAGCCCGUACAGCCCGAUGCCAACGCAGAACGAGAACAUGCUGCCAAGUGCGAAAUUCCGGUCGGUGAAGGCCCGGAUGUCGACAAUCGGUUCCUUGACCCUCAGCACGCGCCAGAAGAAGACGAACGCCGAGAACGCACAGACGAUGCCCAGCCAGAACACCGAAGGGUCCUGAAACCAGUCGUAUUGCGGACCCUCUUCGAGCACAUAUUCCAGCGCG
rnacentral:misc_RNA from 1 species